rnacentral:lncRNA from 1 species
GUUUAUAUUCUAUAUUUCUGAAUAAUUGUUUACAUUCAAUUUAUGAAACACAGAUAUUUCAUUUUUUUUAAAGUAAAGCCUUAUUCUGAUGCUAAUAAAGAAAAUUAUAAAAAUUAAAUAAUUCAAUGUAUUAUAUUAUCAUUGUAUGUACGUAUGACCUGAGAAUAUAGUCUAACUACAACAUCAGCAUACGACGGGCAUGAUGUGAAGUGAACUGCUAAAAAUCAGAACAAGAGAAGGUAAUAGACUUUUGAGAGUCAUAAUAGCAUCCGAUUGUUUGUACUUCGCUAUAUGCUACGUAUCUUCGAAAAGGGUCGUUUAUUCCGUAAAUUGAUGGUAUUUUUUAGCACUAGAUUCGUCUACAAAACACAUUGUAGGGGAUAUACAUUUUUGUAUUAGUAUGUAUUCACUGUAUGCAUCGGUUUUCUUUCGUAGACCUUUUAUACAAUGUUUUGCCAAAACGAUGUGAAAAGCGAAAGAUCAAACACAGGUCUUAGUUGCACCUCAAUAAUUCUUAAUUAUCUAAUACAGCGUCUCAAUUAAAACCUGUUUAUGAUGUUGUUAUGUAUACACAUGUUUUACUGUACAGCCGUAACUUCUCUUUGACAUCUGAGGCGGAAGUACACUAUUUUGACGCAAACUGUUUUAUUAUAACAGAACGUACUUUCCAAUACUUUAUUGACACCGACGUAACAAUAAUAAAAAGAAAAUAAGAAUAACAGCCAUUUUUCUGUUUGUAUGUACUAUUCCGGGGGGGGGGUAGUGUGAUUGAACAAAGCAAUCGAAAAUUUUGCAAAUAAACACAUAGUCUCACGAGAUAGCUUGAUGAUUAUUACAUAGCAUACCGUUUACGAUAGUGCUUUCAUAACUGUGAACUAAUGUAAACAUAAAUUAUAUUGCAAUCUAAAAUAUACCUAUAGUCGUCAUGUUUUGUUAUCACGAUUUCGGAAUGAUAAAUUAAUUUGCAAAAACGUAUAAUUAUCUUUUUCUACAAUGUUCUUUUGUUGGUACCAGUCCUCAUGAAAGAUGAAAAGACAGAAUGCAGACAAGUUUGGAUGUUUAAGGCACAUACACUAGCAACGUCGUAUGAAGAACGGGACAAAACGAACAAACACACCUAAAGAAAUCGUUUUUAAAAUAUUUCACCGGUGACUUUGAUUGUGUGUUUCUUAAACAUAUAUGGAUGAGUGUUAUUGACAAAAGUU